rnacentral:rRNA from 1 species
ACGGAAGGCAGCAGUGGGGGAUAUUGCACAAUGGGGGAAACCCUGAUGCAGCAAUGCCGCGUGAGGGAAGACGGUCUUCGGAUUGUAAACCUAAGUAGUCAGGGAUGAAGAAAGUGCCAUUACCUGAAGCGUAAGCUCCGGCUAACUACGUGCCAGCAGCCGCGGUAAUACGUAGGGAGCGAGCGUUGUCCGGAUUUACUGGGUGUAAAGGGUGCGUAGGCGGGCUUGCAAGUCAGGCGUGAAAUAACGGGGCUUAACUCCGGUGCUGCGCUUGAAACUGUAAGUCUUGAGUGAAGUAGAGGCAGGCGGAAUUCCCAGUGUAGCGGUGAAAUGCGUAGAUAUUGGGAGGAACACCAGUGGCGAAGGCGGCCUGCUGGGCUUUAACUGACGCUGAGGCACGAAAGUAUGGGGAGCAAACAGGAUUAGAUACCCUGGUA